AGUGAACGCUGGCGGUAUGCCUAACACAUGCAAGUCGAACGGCAGCACAGUAAGAGCUUGCUCUUACGGGUGGCGAGUGGAGGACGGGUGAGGAAUAUAUCGGAAGCUACUUUUUCGUGGGGGAUAACGUAGGGAAACAUACGCUAGUAUCGCAUACGACCUACGGGGGAAAGCAGGGGAACUUUGGACCUUGCGCGAUUGGAGGGGCCGAUGUCGGAUUAGCUAGUUGGCGGGGUAAAGGCCCACCAAGGCGACGAUCCGUAGCUGGUCUGAGAGGAUGAUCAGCCACACUGGAACUGAGACACGGUCCAGACUCCUACGGGAGGCAGCAGUGGGGAAUAUUGGACAAUGGGCGCAAGCCUGAUCCAGCAAUACCGCGUGGGUGAAGAAGGCCUUCGGGUUGUAAAGCCCUUUUGUUAGGAAAGAAAAGCAGCAGGUUAAUACCCCGCUGUUCUGACGGUACCCAAAGAAUAAGCACCGGCUAACUUCGUG
rnacentral:rRNA from 1 species